rnacentral:rRNA from 1 species
AUUGAACGCUGGCGGCAUGCCUUACACAUGCAAGUCGAACGGUAACGGGCCUUCGGGUGCCGACGAGUGGCGAACGGGUGAGUAAUGUAUCGGAACGUACCUUUCAGUGGGGGAUAACGUAGCGAAAGUUACGCUAAUACCGCAUAUUCUGUGAGCAGGAAAGCAGGGGAUCGCAAGACCUUGCGCUGAUUGAGCGGCCGAUAUCAGAUUAGCUAGUUGGUGAGGUAAAGGCUCACCAAGGCGAUGAUAGAUAGGCGGCCUUAACGGGUGGUCGCCCACACUGGGAUUGAGAUACGGGCCCAGACUCCUACGGGAGGCAGCAGUCGAGAAUAGUCUACAAUGGCCGGAAGGCUGAUAGUGCGACGCCGCGUGAACGAGGGAGCCCUUCGGGGUGUAAAGUUCUUUUCUAUACGAGCAGUGCUAUAUAUAUGGAUAGUAUAUAUAGAGGGAUAGUAGUAUAGGAAUAAGCAACGGCUAACUCCGUGCCAGCA